AAUAGUUCAGCACUAAGUCACUUUGUCUUUAUGGCAAAUGUGAGAUGCAGUGUAUGGAAUGUCAAAUUUCUAGUAUGAGAAAUUAACGAUUUAAGUCCUUCUUAAAUGAGGCCAUUUACCCAAAGAGGGUGCCAGGCCCGUAUAACGUUAAUGAUUACUAGAUGGCAUUUCCAAAGAGUCGUGUUGCUUGAUAGUGCAGCACUAAGUGGGUGGUAAACUCCAUCUAAAACUAAAUAUAACCAUGAGACCGAUAGUAAACAAGUACCGUGAGGGAAAGUUGAAAAGAACUCUGAAUAGAGAGUUAAAUAGUACGUGAAACUGCUUAGAGGUUAAGCCCGAUGAACCUGAAUAUCCGUUAUGGAAAAUUCAUCAUUAUGAUUUUAAUAUUAAUAAUAUUAUAAUAAUGGUGUGCAUUUUUUCUAUAAAGGACAUUGUAAUCUAUUAACAUAAAAAAUAUUUAUUAAAAGAUCUUUGGCUUAAGUUUAUUCGAAUUAUUUUGCUUGCAAUUUAAUAUAGAAUAAAUGCCUUUGAUUUGAUAAAGUGUUGAUAGAUUUAUUAUAAUAUAGUGCUUAAAUAUAUUUAUAUUUUAUAAUAGCAUAUUAAUCAUUGAUUUUUAUGUUUAUUAUAUGCACUUAUAUGAUUAACAAUGCGAAAGAUUCAGGAUACCUUCGGGACCCGUCUUGAAACACGGACCAAGGAGUCUAACAUAUAUGCAAGUUAUUGGGAAUAAAAACCUAAUAGCGAAAUUAACAUAACUUUAAUAUAUGGGAUUAGUUUUUAGUCUAUUUUUAUAGUCUAUUAAUUCAAUCCCGGGGCGUUCUAUACAGUUAUGUAUAAUAAUAUUUAUAUUAUUUAUACCUCUAACUAGAGCGUACCUUGAGCAUAUAUGCUGUGACCCGAAAGAUGGUGAACUAUAC
rnacentral:rRNA from 1 species